rnacentral:rRNA from 1 species
UUAAGCGACUAAGCGUACACGGUGGAUGCCCUGGCAGUCAGAGGCGAUGAAGGACGUGCUAAUCUGCGAAAAGCGUCGGUAAGGUGAUAUGAACCGUUACAGCCGGCGAUGUCCGAAUGGGGAAACCCAGUGCAAUUCGUUGCACUAUCGUUAACUGAAUACAUAGGUUAACGAGGCGAACCGGGGGAACUGAAACAUCUAAGUACCCCGAGGAAAAGAAAUCAACCGAGAUUCCCCCAGUAGCGGCGAGCGAACGGGGAGCAGCCCAGAGUCUGAAUCAGCUUGUGUGUUAGUGGAACGGUCUGGAAAGUCCGACGGUACAGGGUGAUAGUCCCGUACACCAAAAUGCACAGGUUGUGAACUCGAAGAGUAGGGCGGGACACGUGGUAUCCUGUCUGAAUAUGGGGGGACCAUCCUCCAAGGCUAAAUACUCCUGACUGACCGAUAGUGAACCAGUACCGUGAGGGAAAGGCGAAAAGAACCCGGCGAGGGGAGUGAAAAGAACCUGAAACCGUGUACGUACAAGCAGUGGGAGCACCUUCGGGUGUGACUGCGUACCUUUUGUAUAAUGGGUCAGCGACUUAUAUUCUGUAGCAAGGUUAACCGUAUAGGGGAGCCGCAGGAAACCGAGUCUUAACUGGGCGUUAAGUUGCAGGGUAUAGACCCGAAACCCGGUGAUCUAGCCAUGGGCAGGUUGAAGGUUGGGUAACACUAACUGGAGGACCGAACCGACUAAUGUUGAAAAAUUAGCGGAUGACUUGUGGCUGGGGUGAAAGGCCAAUCAAACCGGGAGAUAGCUGGUUCUCCCGAAAGCUAUUUAGGUAGCGCCUCGUGAACUCAUCUUCGGGGUAGAGCACUGUUUCGGCUAGGGGUCAUCCCGACUUACCAACCCGAUGCAAACUACGAAUACCGAAGAAUGUUAUCACGGGAGACACACGGCGGGUGCUAACGUCCGUCGUGAAGAGGGAAACAACCCAGACCGCCAGCUAAGGUCCCAAAGUCAUGGUUAAGUGGGAAACGAUGUGGGAAGGCACAGACAGCCGGAUGUUGGCUUAGAAGCAGCCAUCAUUUAAAGAAAGCGUAAUAGCUCACUGGUCGAGUCGGCCUGCGCGGAAGAUGUAACGGGGCUAAACCAUGCACCGAAGCUGCGGCAGCGACACUAUGUGUUGUUGGGUAGGGGAGCGUUCUGUAAGCCUGCGAAGGUGUGCUGUGAGGCAUGCUGGAGGUAUCAGAAGUGCGAAUGCUGACAUAAGUAACGAUAAAGCGGGUGAAAAGCCCGCUCGCCGGAAGACCAAGGGUUCCUGUCCAACGUUAAUCGGGGCAGGGUGAGUCGACCCCUAAGGCGAGGCCGAAAGGCGUAGUCGAUGGGAAACAGGUUAAUAUUCCUGUACUUGGUGUUACUGCGAAGGGGGGACGGAGAAGGCUAUGUUAGCCGGGCGACGGUUGUCCCGGUUUAAGCAUGUAGGCUGGUUAUCCAGGCAAAUCCGGAUAAUCAAGGCUGAGGUGUGAUGACGAGGCACUACGGUGCUGAAGUAACAAAUGCCCUGCUUCCAGGAAAAGCCUCUAAGCAUCAGGUAACAUCAAAUCGUACCCCAAACCGACACAGGUGGUCAGGUAGAGAAUACCAAGGCGCUUGAGAGAACUCGGGUGAAGGAACUAGGCAAAAUGGUGCCGUAACUUCGGGAGAAGGCACGCUGGUGUGUAGGUGAAGUCCCUGCGGAUGGAGCUGAGACCAGUCGAAGAUACCAGCUGGCUGCAACUGUUUAUUAAAAACACAGCACUGUGCAAACACGAAAGUGGACGUAUACGGUGUGACGCCUGCCCGGUGCCGGAAGGUUAAUUGAUGGGGUUAUCCGUAAGGAGAAGCUCUUGAUCGAAGCCCGGUAAACGGCGGCCGUAACUAUAACGGUCCUAAGGUAGCGAAAUUCCUUGUCGGGUAAGUUCCGACCUGCACGAAUGGCGUAAUGAUGGCCAGGCUGUCUCCACCCGAGACUCAGUGAAAUUGAACUCGCUGUGAAGAUGCAGUGUACCCGCGGCAAGACGGAAAGACCCCGUGAACCUUUACUAUAGCUUGACACUGAACAUUGAGCCUUGAUGUGUAGGAUAGGUGGGAGGCUUUGAAGCGUGGACGCCAGUCUGCGUGGAGCCAACCUGAAAUACCACCCUUUAAUGUUUGAUGUUCUAACGUUGGCCCCUGACCGGGGUUGCGGACAGUGUCUGGUGGGUAGUUUGACUGGGGCGGUCUCCUCCCAAAGCGUAACGGAGGAGCACGAAGGUUAGCUAAUCCUGGUCGGACAUCAGGAGGUUAGUGCAAUGGCAUAAGCUAGCUUGACUGCGAGCGUGACGGCGCGAGCAGGUGCGAAAGCAGGUCAUAGUGAUCCGGUGGUUCUGAAUGGAAGGGCCAUCGCUCAACGGAUAAAAGGUACUCCGGGGAUAACAGGCUGAUACCGCCCAAGAGUUCAUAUCGACGGCGGUGUUUGGCACCUCGAUGUCGGCUCAUCACAUCCUGGGGCUGAAGUAGGUCCCAAGGGUAUGGCUGUUCGCCAUUUAAAGUGGUACGCGAGCUGGGUUUAGAACGUCGUGAGACAGUUCGGUCCCUAUCUGCCGUGGGCGCUGGAGAAUUGAGGGGGGCUGCUCCUAGUACGAGAGGACCGGAGUGGACGCAUCACUGGUGUUCGGGUUGUCAUGCCAAUGGCACUGCCCGGUAGCUAAAUGCGGAAGAGAUAAGUGCUGAAAGCAUCUAAGCACGAAACUUGCCCCGAGAUGAGUUCUCCCUGAGACUAUAAGUCUCCUGAAGGAACGUUAAAGACGAUGACGUUGAUAGGCCGGGUGUGUAAGCGCAGCGAUGCGUUGAGCUAACCGGUACUAAUGAACCGUGAGGCUUAACCU